AUGGGGACAGGUCUUUCCUGCACUGUUCUCAUGGUAGUGAGUAAGUUUCAUGAGAUCUAUAAGGGAAACUUUUCCUGCACAAGUUCUCUUUUUUUGUUUCCGCCGUGUAAGACCUGCCCUUUACCUUCUACUGUGAUUGUGAGGCCUCCCCAGCCAUGUGGAACUGUCACUGUAAAUUGUUCUCUCAUGAUAAAAUGCAAAACAGAAUUGCUGGAGGGGAACUCAAGAUGGCGCUGUGAGAACAACCCAGGAUUGGAGCCCGCGUUGAAUUCGCAAACGGUGAGUCAGUGCUGCAUUUCCAGACUGAUCUUUGUUGCCCACAGAACGGGGAAACUCCCAAGUAUAAAAAGACACGGGACGCCAGGCAGUAGGUCUGCCUGGCGAAGCCGGCAGCCGGGGCGGCGGCGGCCGGCCCUACCCAGCAAUCCCCACAGGGCGUGCUUGUCCAGGUGCCUUGUUGAACCGGCAACCUGAGACUUGAGAGGGCUGGACUUGAGACUGAACGAGACUUGCACAGUAGCCCAGCCCAGCUAUACUGCCCAAAGUAAUUUACAGAAUCAAUGCUAUCCCCAUCAAGCUACCAUUGACUUUCUUCACAGAACUGGAAAAAACCACCAUGAACUUCAUAUGGAACCAAAAGAGAGCCCGCAUAGCCAAGUCAAUUCUAAGCAAAAAGAACACAGCGGGGGGCAUCACACUACCGGAUUUCAAACUAUACUACAAGGCUACAGUAAUCAAAACAGCAUGGUACUGGUACCAAAACAGAAAUGAUGAGUUCGUGUCGUUUGUAGGGACAUGGAUGAAUCUGGAAAACAUCAUCCUCAGCAAACUGACACAAGAACAGAAAAUGAAACACCGCAUAUUCUCACUCAUAGGUGGGUGAUGAAAAAUGAGAACACAUGGACACAGGGAGGGGAGUACUAAACAAUGGGGUCCAUUGGGGGGAAAAGGGGAGGGUCAGUGGGAGGGGGAGGUGGGGAGGGAUAGCCUGGGGAGAAAUGCCAAAUGUGGGUGAAGGGGAGAAGAAAAGCAAAGCACACUGCCAUGUGUGUACCUACGCAACUGUCUUGCAUGCUCUGCUCAUGUACCCCAAAACCUAUAAUCCAAUAAAAAAUUAAAAAGAAAAAAAAAAUAAUAGAAAAUUAUAUAUUAAUAUAUAAAUUAAUGUAUUAAUAUAUCAUGAUAUACUAU
rnacentral:lncRNA from 1 species